rnacentral:lncRNA from 10 species
GGGUUACCACUGGAGGGGUUUGAGCAGAGCCAUGGCAUAUACUGAUUGGAAGCAGAAAAACUGCCAGGAAAAUGUCACAGCCACCCCUUACUGAACAGCAGAAACACCAGCAAAACACCAACUGCAACAUGGUGUAUUUUGAAGGUGAGAUUAAAUUUACCUACACCUAGAGAAAUAAUUGGAGCACAUGUCUAUUUGGGCCAAGAGGAUAAAGGCCAGUAGAGGAAUCAGAUCAAAGAACUUCCUCAGGGAAGUGUGCAGAGAACUGGAGUGGACCUUCCCCUAGGAAGCUGCCCAAAACGAGAGUGCUGGAAAGCUGGCCGCAGUGAGGCACUUCAGAUCCCAAGGGUAUGCUGGGGAAGCUGCCACAGGUGGGAGCACUUGCUGCUGGACCCUAGGCACUGUUGAAACAACUGCACCAUCUGCAGGAGCCCAGCAAGGUGCCUUCAGCCAUGAUUAUAAGUUUCCUGAGGCCUCCCCAGCCAUAAGAAACUCCAAAGCCAGGCAUCCCAUCUGGAGAGAGAGAAGACUGAAGCAGAAACACAAUGGGAAGGAAGCAAAGAUGGAGAGAUGAGUUUUUGGAUUCAACUGAAGCCCUUGCUAUCUGCUAGAGUCAGAGUCAUCACAAUUGGGGGGUCUUCAUUAAGCUACACUUUUUAAUGGAACAUCCUAGUGAGGUUUGAGAGUACAGCUUUAUGGUCUAUAUUACAUUACUAAGCCGAUUUUAU